rnacentral:rRNA from 1 species
UACGGGGGGGGCAAGCGUUGUUCGGAAUUACUGGGCGGAAAGGGCUCGUAGGCGGCCAACUAAGUCCGACGUGAAAUCCCCAGGCUUAACCUGGGAACUGCGUCGGAUACUGGAUGGCUUGAAUUCGGGAGAGGGAUGCAGAAUUCCAGGUGUAGCGGUGAAAUGCGCAGAUAUCAGGAGGAACACCUAUUGCGAAGGCAGCUCGCUGGGACGUAACUGACGCUGAGACGCGAAAGCGUGGGGAGCAAACAGG